rnacentral:rRNA from 1 species
GUUUAGGGGUAAACCUGAGAAACCCGAAAGGUCGAAGGGAUGAAAUUCAGCUCGUUUCAUUGUGUAGGGUAUCCGACAGUGAGCAUAUACACUACUGUAAUGGUUCGUGUAUCCACUGUUGGGUAUUAUAUAUCCGAACAUAUGAACGUGUGCACUUUUCUCCUGGUAGGACGUCGCAAUCCGUUAAAGCAAACGGUCUACGGCGCACGGUGGAGUUCGUUGGUGUACUUAAUUGUUACGCAAACGUACCCGUGCUGUCCUGGCCGUUUGAUGACGGGCUAAUACAUUUGAGAUUGAUGGCCGCUACUUGUUAGCGUUCAACUCGCAGCAAGCACAUUGUACGUGAAGUCUGGUGUUUUGGACCUGGUUUCCAAGCCCGACCGUCUUUGUCUGUUGGCUGUGGUGUUCUUGAACAGUGCCUCUUAAUCAAUUGGCGACGCUAUAGCUUUGGGUACUUUCAGGACCCGUCUUGAAACACGGACCAAGGAGUCUAGCGUGUGCGCAAGUCAUUGGGACACGCUAAAAUGAAUCCUAAAGGCGAAAUGAAAGUGAGAAAAUGUUUCACAUUUAUGUGGAUCAUUUUAUGGGAAGACAGGUGAUUAUAUGCAGUCUUUUGACAGUUGCCUUGCAUUCCCGGGGCGUCUCUAUAACUCAUUGCGAGUUGAGGCGCACCCAGAGCGUACACGCUGGGACCCGAAAGAUGGUGAACUAUGCCUGGUCAGGACGAAGUCAGGGGAAACCCUGAUGGAGGUCCGUAGCGAUUCUGACGUGCAAAUCGAUCGUCGGAACUGGGUAUAGGGGCGAAAGACUAAUCGAACCAUC